rnacentral:lncRNA from 1 species
GAGGGCUCAAAAUGGUACGAGACUGGGUGCUUCAUUCUCUUGGCAGUGGCCAGGGGGCAGGAGCCACACGUGCCCCUGGGGGAGCCCACAUGGCACUUAGGGCUGGCAGCACCGCCCCUCUCCACGCAGACUCCGCCUCAGGUGCCCACUAUCUGCUGGGCUGCAGGUACUGGUGUGUGAACAUGUUGAGCUCACUGUCCAACCAACCGGCUUUAUUCCUGAGCAGCUU